GACAGAGGAGGCAAGCGUUAUCCGGAAUUAUUGGGCGUAAAGCGUCCGUAGGUGGCUUGAAAAGUCUGGGGUUAAAGCCUGGAGCCCAACGCCGGAUCGGCCCUGGAAACUGUCAGACUUGAGUAAGGUAGGGGUCGCGGGAAUUCCCGGUGUAGCGGUGAAAUGCGUAGAUAUCGGGAAGAACACCAGUGGCGAAAGCGCGCAGCUGGGCCAUUACUGACACUGAGGGACGAAAGCUAGGGGAGCGAAUGGG
rnacentral:rRNA from 1 species